UACGGGGGGGGGCAAGCGUUGUUCGGAAUUACUGGGCGUAAAGGGCUCGUAGGCGGCCAACUAAGUCCGACGUGAAAUCCCAAGGCUUAACCUUGGAACUGCGUCGGAUACUGGAUGGCUUGAAUUCGGGAGAGGGAUGCAGAAUUCCAGGUGUAGCGGUGAAAUGCGUAGAUAUCUGGAGGAAUACCGGUGGCGAAGGCGGCAUCCUGGACCGACAUUGACGCUGAGGCGCGAAAGCGUGGGGAGCAAACAGG
rnacentral:rRNA from 1 species